UUCCCUGUGUGUUGUGCUGGAAUCUUCAUGUGUUCCUAAAUGCUAGUUUAAUCUUUACUCAGUGAAUCAUUGCUGUGUGUUCCUUUGAACUGCUUAGAACUGCACUUUCUCUGGGGCAAUACAAACCCUUCACCUGGAGGAAGUUUCCUGGCCCGAUUGGGAUCACUCAGAGUCACAGUAAAAAGUAUUUAAACGCACUGUGUCUCCAGAGCGAUGUGUCGGCUUGAGCUGUACAGUCGAGUUCUACCCAAAAUCCCAGGCUGGUCAGUCUCUUGAGGAUCUCUGACUUGAAGAGACACACAGAGAGGGUCUUGGAUCUUGACAUUAAGGAUCCUAUGUGCCUGAACACUCAUGGAAGAUUUCACACGUAGUAUAUUGCAAAAUAAAACCAGGAGGAUGCUUCCCUAUCACCUAGACUGAUUCCAAGCUGAAACAUCACUUAUGAGAAUAUCCAUGCCAUUUACAUUUCAAAAAUGUUUUAAUACUCUGAUAGAAAACCUGUGUGCAAAUUGGAAAUGUGUACGUAUGUAUGUGUGCUUUAGAACAGCAUUGACGUAUAUGAUGCAAUUUUAGGACCCUAGAUAGAGACGUUCCUGUAUUUGUAAGAUCUGCCAUCCCAGCGGAACUGUUUAGCCAGUUUGCAUAAAAAGUAUUAUUUGCAUUGCUUCAAUUAGUGCAUGAACGGGAAUAUAACAACUAAAUGAGAUAUUCACUCGUCUCAUGUCACUGUGAAGUAUUAGCAGUCUGAUCUCCCACUUUCCAAAUUGACUGUCACCUAGUUAAGUAUGGUGCCGCUCUUGAUAUACUCAUGUAUUGCUGCAUUACAGAACUUAGUAUAAAUUUGUGCCAAUCUUGCUGCAGAGUACCUUAGCCUAUGUUUGGCUGUGCAAUUGCUUCUAUGUUUUCUGCUUAUUGACCAAGCUCGCCCAACUCUUGUUCACUCCUUUUAAUUGCUCUCCUGCUAAUUUUGUUCUGUCAAUUUUCUUUCUUUUUUUGUUUUACUUUCUCUAUUCUCAUGUCCUAUCCCUAGGCUUUCUUUAUCUGUUUCCUAUGAUUCAUGUACUAAAAUAAACCUGAGAAUAAAGAUCUUGUCUUUGUGAUGUUAAAUA